rnacentral:rRNA from 1 species
GAUGAACGCUGGCGGCGUGCCUAAUACAUGCAAGUCGAGCGAACGGACGAGAAGCUUGCUUCUCUGAUGUUAGCGGCGGACGGGUGAGUAACACGUGGAUAACCUACCUAUAAGACUGGGAUAACUUCGGGAAACCGGAGCUAAUACCGGAUAAUAUUUUGAACCGCAUGGUUCAAAAGUGAAAGACGGUCUUGCUGUCACUUAUAGAUGGAUCCGCGCUGCAUUAGCUAGUUGGUAAGGUAACGGCUUACCAAGGCAACGAUGCAUAGCCGACCUGAGAGGGUGAUCGGCCACACUGGACCUGAGACACGGUCCAGACUCCGACGUGACGCAGCAGUAGGGCAUCUUCCGCAAUGGGCGAAAGCCGGACGGAGCAACGCCGAGUGAGUGAUGAAGGUCUUCGGAUCUUAAAACUCUGUUAUUAGGGAACAACAUAUGUGUAAGUAACUGUGCACAUCUUGCCGGUACCUAAUCAGAAAGCCACGGCUAACUACGUG